rnacentral:rRNA from 1 species
GACAGAGGGUGCAACCGUUGUUCGGAAUUACUGGGCGUAAAGCGUGUGUAGGCGGCCAUGCAAGUCGGAUGUGAAAGCCCUGGGCUCAACCCAGGAAGUGCACUCGAAACUGCGUGGCUUGAGUACUGGAGAGGUUGGUGGAAUUCUCGGUGUAGAGGUGAAAUUCGUAGAUAUCAGGAGGAACACCGAUGGCGAAGGCAGGUCUCUGGGCUGACACUGACGCUCAUGCACGAAAGCGUGGGGAGCAAACAGG